rnacentral:rRNA from 1 species
GGCCCUUCGGGAGCUCGGAGACAGGUGCUACAUGGCUGUCGUCAGCUCGUGUCGUGAGAUGUUGGGUUAAGUCCCGCAACGAGCGCAACCCUUGUCUUUAAUUGCCAUCAUUGAGUUGGGCACUUUAAAGAGACUGCCGGUGUUAAACCGGAGGAAGGUGGGGAUGACGUCAAGUCCUCAUGGCCUUUAUGCCCAGGGCUACACACGUGCUACAAUGGGUGGUACAAAGAGAGGCAAGCUCGCGAGAGUAAGCAAAUCUCAAAAAGCCAUCCUCAGUUCGGAUUGGAGUCUGCAACUCGACUGCAUGAAGCCGGAGUUGCUAGUAACCGCAGGUCAGCAAUACUGCGGUGAAUACGUUCCCGGGUCUU